CAUAAUGGAUUAAUUAUAAGUAAAUGUGUAAUUAACACGAAAUUGAGUGAGCUAACUUUAAAAGUGACUAUGUUGCAUAAUAGGAAAGUAAUUAAAGUUAGGAGUGAAAGGCCUACCAAACUCAAUGAUAUCUUGAUUCUUUAGAGACGUAUUUAGUACAUAGACAUACUUAGAGUGAGAAGGUUUUAAGUAAUAAUUAAGUUUAAAUAUUAAGGUAUAUAGAUAUAAUAGUCUGUAUUAGUAAGUAUAAAUAUUUAUAUUGUGAAAUUAUUUAAAGUAUAAAGACGUUAAAUGACUAUAAUAAUGAUUGAUAAUGUUUAUAUAAGUAAUAAAUAGAUAUUAGUAGUGAAUUCGGCAUUAAGCUUUCAACUGUUUAUCAAAAACAUAGCCAGGUGAAUUACAUUUGGUAUUUUCUGCUCAAUGAGAUAUUAAAUAGCCGCAGUACCCUGACUGUGCAAAGGUAGCGCAAUCAAUUGUCUUCUAAUUAAAGUCACGUAUGAAAGAAUAUAUGGGGGCUUUCUUUACCAUUGAUAAUUUUCGAAAUUACUUAGUGAGUGCAAAUUCUCACUUGUAGCCAAUAGACGAGAAGACCCUAGAAAUUUUGAUUUGUAUUUUUGUUGGGGCAACAUAGUAACAUUAAAUUUACAGUAUGUAUAUGAAAUAAAUUAGACUAAUUAAAUUACUCUAGGGAUAACAGCAUAAUCCGUAAGUGUUUGUGACCUCGAUGUUGGAUUAGGGAUUUGUAGUUUAGAAGACUAACAAUUAUGCUCUGUUCGCGCAAGUAUCCCUAC
rnacentral:rRNA from 1 species